rnacentral:rRNA from 1 species
AGCAGCAGCCACGGGAAUACGUAGGGUGCAAGCGUUAAUCGGAAUUACUGGGCGUAAAGCGUGCGCAGGCGGUUCUAUAAGACAGAUGUGAAAUCCCCGGGCUCAACCUGGGAACUGCAUUUGUGACUGUAGAGCUGGAGUACGGUAGAGGGGGAUGGAAUUCCGCGUGUAGCAGUGAAAUGCGUAGAUAUGCGGAGGAACACCGAUGGCGAAGGCAAUCCCCUGGACCUGUACUGACGCUCAUGCACGAAAGCGUGGGGAGCAAACAGGAUUAGAUACCCCUGUAGUCCCUGUCUCUUAUAC